rnacentral:lncRNA from 1 species
UUCAAAUCCAGGUCAGUGUGAUUCCAGAGCUCACAGUCUCACCACUACUCUCUUCUAGAAUUUACAGUCUUCAUGCUUUGCUCUUCUCUCCUUCCCUCUCAAGACUGCAAUCAUGGAGCUGAUAGACUUAUUUUCACCAAAACAUAAAUGAUGGGCACAGCUUAUUAUGUUUUUUUUCUGGAUGCAUUUUGAAAUGACCAUUGGAUGUACUUCUUUUGCAUUUUUAUUGUGAAAUACAGAACCAGUUUUGGCACUUUAUUUAGUAUUUUCUAGGUUGGCUGUAGGGAUUGUUCCCUGAAGCUUAUAUACCUCACCACGCGUUGACGACUCCCCCAGGUCAAUAGAAUCCACUAGGUGGCGCCCAGGUCUACUGCCGCGUCUCGUCUCCGCUGGGCGCAAAUCUUGGAACAGCUGUGGAUGUUCGAGGAGUGGUUGGAGAGAUCAAUAUGAUCCAUGUGGAGCAGCUUCCCUACCGUCUGCUCCAAAAGGCUGUAAGCCUGGUGUCCUUCAAACUGUUACUGUAAUGAAAUACCCGAAUAUGGACAAUGAUGGUGUGGUUUUGAGUACGAGAAAGCCUGCGGUUUUGCUUCGUGAGACUUAAAGACGAGCAGGCAGACAGGCAUCCAUCCAGCUGCAGUUCAUAGCCGAUGCCCCCGACAAGUAGCAGGCUGGCGACUGAGAAGCUCCCCAGAAGCUACCUUUAAUGCCCAAAGAUUGAUUUAGGCAAUGACACUGCAAUGUACGGAAGGGGAAAAAGGGACGAGAGGAAGGUAUCAAAAAGAGGGAGAUUAUUUCAAUAUUAACUUGAGUGCAGGCAUAAUUCGCUCUCAUUUCUGGCAGGCAAUUGAGCACUCUGCUUCAUAUGCAAAAUCGAGGGUACAUUCUGAUGUAGAUUUCAGAUAGCGGGAAAUGAAGGUAUUUUGUUUUUCUUUUAAAUUGCAUUGGGCAAUUUCCUUUCUUAUAUGAAACGCUGUAGGCUUUGUACAAUUAUUUUAUACGUUAUUACCAUUCUUCUAAAAAGGGACAGCUUUUUUCUUUCCAAUUUAAAGUAGUGGAUAAUGACUUUGGCAGCAUUUUCCUGCCUUUUUCAAGUUUAUGGAACCCAUUCCUCAUCAUUAGGCUGAAGAUGCAGAUAAGAAAGGACGAGCCUUUUUCUGGAGCUUGUCACAUCAAUGUUGCUUCUUAGGUGAUUAAAAAGAAAGCAGCGAGGAUCUUGGAGAAAACGUCUGACAAAAGGUAAUGGAAACCCAGAAACAGACGAAAACCGGUGAUAGAUUAGGCAAACCUUCUCUGCUAAGUGCAUGUGUGCAUUUCAGCUCAGGAACAAAAAUAAGACCCUGUUCUACGGAGGCUCUUAAAAAACUGACCUGUGCUGGCCCCACACGCUAAGGUUUAUUUGAGGCGCCCGAAGGUGAUUAGAUCCAGGAGGAGGCGUUUUUCUGCAGUUUAGCUUAGGAACUCAGAGCCAGCCAAAUGCUUACUGCAGCUGCUUGUUGGCUGGUUCAAAGGUAUAGAGCUGCUUUAAUUAAAAUCGGCAGGCGCGUUUUGAUUUUGGUCAAAAUAGAUUUUGUUAUUUUUAAACUUCCUGUGGAAUUAAAAAAAAAGUAUUUUUAUUCCCUUUUCUUUUGUCCAGCAUUCUUAUUCCCAUUUCCAUCCUCUGCUAUCAUAAUAAUGGGAGGGGGUUCAGUAUGGAAUUCUAAAAAUCUCCCCAGGUUUAUCUCUUCAGGGAUACGCGAUGGUCCAACAAAAACAUCUUUAGCACAAAUGUAGCUUGGAGUAUAUGGAAAUUGUGUAGUAGUCACAGAGGUAUUUCUUAAAAAUAUCUUUGCUAAUAAUUUUGGUAGGCUAGAAGUAGAUGAGUGAACAUGAUAUUCAACUAUGGAAGGUAUUUUGCCUGGUGUUCAGUUGGUUUAUUGUUUUGAAGGAGGGAAAUUGGCAUGCAAUUUAAUAAAGAAA